rnacentral:lncRNA from 1 species
AUAAAUCUUAGUCUGAUGAAUCUUUCUCCUAAGAUAGAAAACCUAGUUUGAUGAAUUUUCUCCUAGGAUAUAAAUCUUAGUCUGAUGAAUCUUUCUCCUAAGAUAACAAAAAGGGAACUUAGUCUGAUGAAUUUUUCUCCUAAGAUAGAAACUUAGUCUGAUGAAUUUUCUUCUAGGAUAUAAAUCUUAGUCUGAUGAAUCUUUUUCCUAAGAUAACAAAAGGGAACCAAAUCUGAUGAACUUUCUCCUAGGAUAUAAAUCUUAGUCUGAUGAAUCUUUCUCCUAAGAUAACAAAAAGGGAACUUAGUCUGAUGAAUUUUCCUCCUAAGAUAGAAAACCUAGUCUGAUGAAUUUUCUCAUAGGAUAUAAAUCUUAGUCUGAUGAAUCUUUCUCCUAAGAUAACAAAAGGGAACCUAGUCUGAUGAACUUUCUCCUAGGAUAUAAAUCUUAGUCUGAUGAAUCUUUCUCCUAAGAUUAAAAAAAGAAACCUAGUCUGAUGAAUCUUUAUCCUAAGAUACCAAAAAAAGAAGUAGAAAAGAGACCUAGUCUGAUGAACUUUCUCCUAGGAUCAAAAUCUUAGUCUGAUAAAUCUUUCUCCUAAGAUAGAAAACCUAGUCCAAUGAAUUUUCUCCUAGGAUAAUAAUUUUAAAGAAAAGGGAAGUCUGAAUUUGAAAGAAGAGGGGUCAAUUUUUAGUUAUCAAUGUCUAGUUUUC